rnacentral:rRNA from 1 species
GACAGAGGGUGCAAACGUUGCUCGGAAUCACUGGGCGUAAAGGGCGCGUAGGCGGACUUUUAAGUCGGGGGGUGAAAGCCCAGGGCUCAACCCUGGAAUUGCCUUCGAUACUGGGAGUCUUGAGUUCGGAAGAGGUUGGUGGAACUGCGAGUGUAGAGGUGAAAUUCGUAGAUAUUCGCAAGAACACCGGUGGCGAAGGCGGCCAACUGGUCCGAUACUGACGUGAGGCGCGAAAGCGUGGGGAGCAAACAGG